GGCCACGGUGGUGGGCGGAAGGAGGCGCUGAAGGAGUGGGUCCGGGAGGAUGGCGGCGGCGCAUCAGUGGAGUCACUCACGCCAGCUCGUCGGCUCCCUUGGCUUCCUCAAGCCAUCGGCAAGCACCAAGGCCGCCGACCCAAGAGGGCGUGCUCACAACGGGCUGGUCGCCUGGAUCCACCCCGCCGCUUGAUGCCCAUGGAUGGGGCGGCCGCGGUGGCGAGCGAAAGGGGGCGCUGAAGGAGCGGGUCUGGAGGAGGGCGGCGACGCAUCAAUGGAGUCACUCACGCCAGCAGGUCGACUCUCGCCAGCCUCCACAAGCGACGGAGAUGGUUCGGCCUGGCCAUGGCGAUGACAGUUCUCCGGAUCUGUGUUGUAGUUGCUGCUGCUGCUGGGCGAGCUGUUACAUAGUCACACUGAGGCUGACACACAACAUUGCUUGCAUUACCCGACUGGAUUCAUCCCUGGAGUGAUACAUCAAAAGAUUACUCGGAUGGUUGCCAGAUAACACGAAGGAGGUAAGGAGUGUCAUUGAUAUAUUAUGGAUGGUUUAUACACCUUAAUUCAUACAUAUCUUACAUGUGGUACCUGGCAAUAAAUUAUUUUUCCUUUAUGGCUAGGAGGUGAACUUCCUAGAAGUAGCAAUAACAAAGAAUAAUGAUGUUAUGCCAGAUGAACUUCCCAAGGCGGAUAGUUCUUUUUUACCUGGCCCUUUAUGGCUGAUAGUUCUUUUUUACCUGGCCCUUUUCACUUUGCAUGUUCUAGGAUUUAGUAGGCUUGCUUCUUGUCUCAUCCUGUAUUAGGCUCUGGUUAUGUGCUCUUCUUCUGUGUUGAGGUGUGUCGCUUCCUUCUCCUUACUAGGAAUGCAUCUUCCGUUCAGGGCCUCUUUUCUCUAUGGUGAUUGACUGAUUGUUCUUGCUUUGUAUCUAAUACACUCUGCUGCUAUAUUUCAUGAGCAUAGCCUGAGAGAAUUCUUGCAUUUAUGGUACGAGCAGAAGGUAUGAUCUGAAUGUGUCAUUGCACAAAAGGCAAAACUUCCGCUAUGUGUCAUUGCAGAAUGGCUCUCUUCUGUAAGGUAUACACUGAACACUUGCCGUUAUUACCUUUAUUUGGUUAGGUUUUCAUGGGAAUAGAUUAUACACAAUGGCGCAAUGCACUCUGCUUAUGGUGAAAUUUGGUGAGCUUGUGCGUACCAUUUUAUUUUUUCGGUUUGUUUCUUUUUUUGUUUCCAGCACCACAUGGCAUAUAAUUUCUUUAUCAUGGAUUAACCAUGUAUGAUGUUAACAUGGUAUGUUCUCAUUCGGUGCAUUGCAGAUUUGCUUGAGUGGUAGCAAGCUGCCUUGCAGAUUAAAGUUGGCAUGAUCGCUGCAGGGUACAGAAACAUGAGUCAAUCCUCUUCCAAGGUUAACUCCACAUGUUCUUCCCUCUUCUAAAUUUCUUUUCCAUGAAGGAUGAAUUCUCGAAGUUUGUUUUGUUUUCUUGGAACACACAUUAAUAUGUUGUGUUUAGCGUGCUGUUAGAAUUUUUUUUUCAGGACCUUCACAUGGAUCUUUUAAAGAAAUCUACGGUUUGCUAAUUAUAGUUCUGAAAUUAUAUAAUGGACUGUUUGGUGAUGUCAUAUUUUGUUGGCAUGAUAAGUGGUGAGUAGGUUUCAUGCCACGGAGAAGAUCAUAAUAGAGUCGCUCUGGAUUAUGUAGCUGUUUUAGAACCCUAAUCAUAUAUCAUAGAAUAGGAGAAGGUGAUAAGAACAUUGAUGCAUGUGAUCACACUUUGUCAAACGUUGUUAGCACCUUAUCUACCAGUGGAAACGUACAACUUCUAGAAAAAGAGUCUUUCAUCCUUCAUGCUUGUUCCAUCUCUAAAGGGCUCUGCCCUACUCGGCCAGCCAAGGGGCUCAAAGGGGCAAAACAAUCUGGUCCAUUCAAUCACGCUGCAACAGUAAGUUUCUAAAGCCGCUUUUCACCCCAGCCGUUGGAUGCAGUAAUUUUCUUUUACUUUUUGUUUGUCUGGAUAGAUCCAUGACGGAUGGGGCCUUGCGUGUGUGGGGUCGGCGAGCAGAGGCAGCGAGGCCACUCGUUCACGUUUCCUUUCUCCUCUCGUUUUUCCGUGCGUGUGGUAGUGGGUGAAAACCCUAGAUUGGCCCCGUGGUGAAAAAAAUCCCCCAAUCUCGUGAGGGCGGCGACGUGUGGGAGGAGGGAGGCGGAGUUGGAUGCGAGGCGCGGGAGCAGCUAUGUGUCGCUGGUCGAGGGCGCGGUUGUGGGCUGGCGGCGGUGACCUGGCGCGAUGGGUCGACAGUGCCUCGACCUCAUUGCUUCUCUUCCACGCGUACGCGCUGGAGAAGCAUGGCCGGGAGGCAUGGCAGGCGCCGCCGCCUCAUGCCUCGCAUCCGGAGGACCCCACAUCAGGAGGCAGCGCUGGCGCCGCCGCUGCAUAGAGCGCCAGCAGGCCACGGGCGCCACCGGUCGCCGCCGGCCGCGGGCGUCACCCUGCCAAGAGUAGAGAGGCCGUGGCCACGUCUACUGCCGUCCCGACAGUCUUCUCUCUCCCCCAGCGGGUGGUCGCCCUCUCUGGUGCGUGGGCGUGCCGGCUCAAGCGACGCGGUUCAAUGGGGAGACAAGGUGAGCGAAGCUUCUUCCAUGCCGGCUACGUCGGUUCAAUGGGGAGACAAGGUGAGCGGAGCUUCUUCCAUGCCGGCUACGUCCUCCUCCUCCUCCUCCUCCCCCCCCCCCUCUUUCAAGGUGGUAGGCACCACGAUGUUGGGGACGGGCCAAGCGUGAACCUGGGGCAGCAGCAUGCUCUGGAUGCGAGCUGGGCCGGUGCCUAUGAUGCCAUGGUGAGCAUCUCUAAAUCCUUAUUUCCAUUUGCUCUUGAUCUCUCUCUCUUCUAGGCUUUGCCAUGUCUACUGGUUCUCUACGCACCUUCUUGGUUCUUUCGAUUUGCUUGUACCUUCAGGUCAUAAACUGUUUGAUGAAAUACCUGUGUGUUGAUCCAUUCUUGCUGCUCUAUAUUUUGGCUGUUCAUGAAGCACCUGCCGUCCAAGCAGGGCACUUUGUGCGGUGACGGACUACUCCUGGAAGAAAACGAGGACAAGAACACCGCUGCCACAUUAAUUGAUACUGAGCUGGAUGAUGAAGCACUUAAGGCACAGUACUUGAAAGCUCACCCGUAUGGAGAGUGGCUCAAGAGACAGAAGAUGUACCUCAAAGACAUUGUAGAAUCUGUCCCAGAAACUGACAAAGUUGCUUGAAGCAUUUCUGGCUCACGUCACCUUCAUGAUAGGACCAUAUUAUCAGGUUGAAAUAUCUGGUAGACUAUCAGGGUUAAAAUGCCAAUGAGGCUGAUGCUAUCGUUUCCUAAAAUGGCACCAUUGGAAUGGAUCAGCUGCAUUGCAAUUAGCUACCGUGAACACGGCAUAUUGAUUACGAGGAGUUGGUGCGCCUUCGUCUCUUCUCCCCUCAACCAGGAGAUGUCAGCGAGAUAUCUUGCAUCAAUGAUGCACAAUCAAGAGAUGAUGGGGCCUUGUGACGUGUUUUCAGUGGUGGCUCCCUUGGCUGUGCGGUGUCCUCGGCCAGAGCAGGGGCCUCCCAGCAACCUCACAAUCUCUGGCUUGUUCAUAGGAGCGGCAUAAUGCUUUUUUACGUCUAUAAACAUAAAUACUACCAGCAGGCCCCUUGUAAUUACCGUCAAGAAUGCUGCCAAUUCGCCUACUGCAACUAAAGGUCGAGUACAAGGAAAUACCAAAUUGAGUGUUUUCUCCUCACUAGGUUGAGUACAGGGAGAGAUGUCGGAGGGCAGCAUCUGGAGCGUCACUUGAUAGUCAUCUUUCCAAAAAAGGUCCCUAUCAAAGUUCCUUAUUGGUUCUUGCCAUUGAUCUAUACUCAAACCUCUCCACUGAAGAAAUACAAGUGCUCUAUAAUGUGAUUUAUCCUUUCUGUACUUACGAUCUAACAGUGAUUUAUGUGAGGUGCCAUUGAUGUUCAUUGUUUGUUUGGCAGAGGUUUAGUACCAAGGGAAAUAAUCAUGCCAAGACAAAUCAAACGAAUUUAUUUUGUUCAGAAAAUCAAUUUUUUUUAAUAUUUUAGCAAGUCUCGUGGCUGGCGGCUGGUUGCCUGUCUAUGGAAAAUAUUGGUUAUUCAUUGCUUGCUACGAGUUCAUUGCCGGCGACAGUUUGCCUGCCUAUGGAAAAUAUCGAUUAGUUCUUCAUUGCCUGCUAUGAGUUCAAAACGGAAAAUCAGUAAUACACUAUAGGAAGCUGUUCUGAAUGGAAGGCGUCUUUGCUAAAUUGAGUACAACGUAAAUACUUUAUUUUAGAAAUUGCAGAAAGGCUGCCCAACUUGAAAAAGAUAUAUGGUAUGGAAGCCAAAGCGUAUAUUCACCGAAUGCUUCUGGGAUAGAAGUGCUUGCAUUGGUAUGUUACCGUUUGCUCUCUAAUGUUAGCUUGCACGAUGAGAGAGGGAAGUGGUAGUUUUUUCCCUGUUGGAUAUAUAUUUGUUGAAUUACUUGGUUCUUUCUUCCACUAUCGAUCUUAUCUU